UACGUAGGGGGCGAGCGUUGUCCGGAUUCAUUGGGCGUAAAGAGCUCGUAGGCGGCUUGGCAAGUCGGGUGUGAAAACUCCAGGCUCAACCUGGAGACGCCACUCGAUACUGCCAUGGCUUGAGUCCGGUAGGGGACCACGGAAUUCCUGGUGUAGCGGUGAAAUGCGCAGAUAUCAGGAGGAACACCGGUGGCGAAGGCGGUGGUCUGGGCCGGUACUGACGCUGAGGAGCGAAAGCGUGGGGAGCGAACAGG
rnacentral:rRNA from 1 species